UGGACUGGGGAAUCCCCACUGUAAACUGGAGACUCUGAGACUCACUGGCUGUAAACUCAGAAACACAUCCUGUAAAGUGUUGGCCUCAGUUCUCAGUUCACAGCCGGUUGUGAUACAGCCUGGAUUCAAACCAGGGUGUCUGUAGUGACACCUCAACCACUGAGAUGCAGUGUCUUAGACCACUGCGCCACUCUGAUGAUUAUGAUUCUACAUGGUAUUAUAUGCCGUGGCCUUUACUGGCCAAAGGUUAAACUGCUGUUAUGGUUAUGAUAUACUAUGGUGUUGUGUCACUAGACUUUGACCAGAUAUUAUUGCAUCCAAAGAUCAACUGAACCUAGAAUAUAGAUACAGAGACACUUGUCUUCAGGAAGGUGAUCUCUCAGCACAACGGAAAAUAUCUCAAUGACUUGACAUGUUCUGGUUGUGAAUUCAGGCUACAAGAUUGCUGUACUAACUGACCAGACUGUCUGACCAGCACUGCAUCCUACUGACUGAUAUCUAACCAGCCCAGAGGCUUAAAGAGACAUUAGACUGUCUGACCUACGCUACCCCUUACUGUGAGAGCCACGUCAGGUAGCACUACGUCGUCCCAGCAAUGCAGACACACACCCUGGUCGAGGUCACUGGAGACAUGGGACACAAAGGCCACCAUGGCAACGCUGGAAUGACAAAGAGAAAUCAAGAGGAAAGGGAGACUGAGGAGGAGGAAAGGGGGAGCUUCUGUAAAAAGAUGAAGAUGCAAGUUUUUAAAGUGGAAGACGAUUUUUCUGAGGGAAACUCUGACGAACUGUUGAGGAGGAUAUACGAGCUAGAUCAAAUUAAAAGAAAUAUCUAUAAAGACUUGAAGCAGAAGAACUCAGAACUAAAGAAAACAUCUGAAGAUUUGACGCAGAAGAACUCAGAACUAAAGAACAUCUGAAGAUUUGAAGCAGAAGAACUCAGAACUAAAGAACAUCUGAAGAUUUGAAGCAGAAGAACUCGGAACUAAAGAAAACAUCUGAAGAUUUAAUGAAUAAUGAACAGGACAAUUCAUGCUGUAUAAGUUAAACUCUUAGUAAAGAAGGUGCUACCUAGAACCAUAAUGGUCACUCCAGAGAACUGCACCAGGGUACUACAUUAAUAUGGGAAAAGACUUGCAGGUGUAGGUUAAUUGUACUUCCUGUUGUACUUGUUAUUCUUGCAUUGACAGCCACACUAACACUCUGUUGGCUUCGAGGUUCAGAGUUGAGGGUUUGAUCAUUAGACCUUUGUUAUUCCUAAUGUAUAUCAAUGACCUGCUGGGUCUUCUACCAUACUAAUCUAUAUCAAAUGACCUGCUGGUUCUUCUACCAUACCAUACUAAUCUAUAUCAAUGACCUGCUGGU